GGUUGAUUGGUCAAGCGGUUAAGACGCCGCCCUCUCACGGCGGAAACAGGGGUUCGAUUCCCCUAUCAACUG
rnacentral:tRNA from 2 species